rnacentral:rRNA from 1 species
UACGUAGGGUGCAAGCGUUAAUCGGAAUUACUGGGCGUAAAGCGUGCGCAGGCGGUUGUGCAAGCCAGAUGUGAAAUCCCCGGGCUCAACCUGGGAAUUGCAUUUGUGACUGCACGGCUAGAGUGUGUCAGAGGGGGGUAGAAUUCCACGUGUAGCAGUGAAAUGCGUAGAGAUGUGGAGGAAUACCGAUGGCGAAGGCAGCCCCCUGGGAUAACACUGACGCUCAUGCACGAAAGCGUGGGGAGCAAACAGG